GCCCGGGGCAGGCUGUCCCCGCGGCCCCAAAGGAUAAAAGAAGAGCCGCUCUGGGCUGGGUAAUCGGGGAUUAGGCGUUUCCACUCGAGUGAUAAUCCAGUGGGAUAAUUCUACAAUUAUCUUCAUCAGAGAGGGACACACUGUACUCUUUCCACCCACUGAUGGAGCAAUCACUGGUUGAAUAAUGUCUAUUCAAACAAGCUUACACUGUGAAACCAGCUCAGCAAGGCCUACCUGGAGGAUACAAAGAUGGAGUGACGUUGAACUGGAAAGAAGAGGCAAGAGAGAAAUAUUGUUUCCUUGAGGAGGGGAUGGGUGGUCCAAAGCUAGAAUUAACACAGGCACUUGGACACCUGGUCCCUUUUCUGCACCACUUCAGCAAUCAGCUAAGGUUAAACACUUUGAUAGCCUUGAACUUUCUAAAUUCUCUAUCAGGCCCUGACAAGCCUGUCCUGGGAUUUUGUAAUGGAAGGAAGAUUGGACAAAGCACCAGGUGACCUGGGUUCUGUUCCUAGCUCUGCCCCUAACUAGCUCUGUGACCUAAAAGAAGGACAACAACCCUUUUGUGCCUCAGUUUCCUUAUUUGUAAAAUAAAAGGG